UACGUAGGGGGCGAGCGUUGUCCGGAUUCAUUGGGCGUAAAGAGCUCGUAGGCGGCUUGGUUAGUCGGGUGUGAAACCUCCAGGCUCACCUGGAGACGCCACCCGAUACUGCUAUGGCUAGAGUCCGGUAGGGACCACGGAAUUCCUGGUGUAGCGGUGAAAUGCGCAGAUAUCAGGAGGAACACCGGUGGCGAAGGCGGUGGUCUGGGCCGG
rnacentral:rRNA from 1 species